CCCAGUUCAGAUUGCAGUCUGCAACUCGACUGCAUGAAGUCGGAAUCGCUGUAAUCGCGGAUCAGCAUGCCGCGGUGAAUACGUUCCCGGGCCUUGUACACACCGCCCGUCACACCAUGAGAGUCGGGAACACCCGAAGUCCGUAGCCUAACCGCAAGGGGGCGCGGCCGAAGGUGGGUUCGAUAAUUGGGGUGAAGUCGUAACAAGGUACC
rnacentral:rRNA from 1 species